rnacentral:rRNA from 1 species
GCGAAGGCAGGUCACUGGCCGCAACUGACGCUGAGGAGCGAAAGCAUGGGGAGCGAACAGGAUUAGAUACCUGGUAGUCCAUGCCGUAAACGUUGGGCACUAGGUGUGGGGCUCAUUCCACGAGUUCCGCGCCGUAGCUAACGCAUUAAGUGCCCCGCCUGGGGAGUACGGCCGCAAGGCUAAAACUCAAAGGAAUUGACGGGGGCCCGCACAAGCGGCGGAGCAUGCGGAUUAAUUCGAUGCAACGCGAAGAACCUUACCAAGGCUUGACAUACACCGGAAGCAGCCAGAGAUGGUUGUGUCUUCGGACUGGUGUACAGGUGGUGCAUGGUUGUCGUCAGCUCGUGUCGUGAGAUGUUGGGUUAAGUCCCGCAACGAGCGCAACCCUCGUUCUAUGUUGCCAGCACGUUAUGGUGGGGACUCAUGGAAGACUGCCGGGGUCAACUCGGAGGAAGGUGGGGAUGACGUCAAAUCAUCAUGCCCCUUAUGUCUUGGGCUUCACGCAUGCUACAAUGGCCGGUACAAAGGGCUGCGAUCCCGUGAGGGGGAGCGAAUCCCAAAAAGCCGGUCUCAGUUCGGAUUGGGGUCUGCAACUCGACCCCAUGAAGUCGGAGUCGCUA